rnacentral:tRNA from 1 species
GCCCUCGUAGCUCAGGGGAUAGAGCAUCCGCCUCCGGAGCGGUGUGCGCAGGUUCGAAUCCUGCCGAGGGCG